GACGAACGUUUGCGGCGUGCUUAACACAUGCAAGUCGAACGGAAAGGCCCUGCUUUUGUGGGGUGCUCGAGUGGCGAACGGGUGAGUAACACGUGAGUAACCUGCCCUUGACUUUGGGAUAACUUCAGGAAACUGGGGCUAAUACCGGAUAGGAGCUCCUGCUGCAUGGUGGGGGUUGGAAAGUUUCGGCGGUUGGGGAUGGACUCGCGGCUUAUCAGCUUGUUGGUGGGGUAGUGGCUUACCAAGGCUUUGACGGGUAGCCGGCCUGAGAGGGUGACCGGCCACAUUGGGACUGAGAUACGGCCCAGACUCCUGCGGGAGGCAGCAGUGGGGAAUAUUGCACAAUGGGCGGAAGCCUGAUGCAGCAACGCCGCGUGCGGGAUGACGGCCUUCGGGUUGUAAACCGCUUUCGCCUGUGACGAAGCGUGAGUGACGGUAAUGGGUAAAGAAGCACCGGCUAACUACGUGCCAGCAGCCGCGGUGAUACGUAGGGUGCGAGCGUUGUCCGGAUUUAUUGGGCGUAAAGGGCUCGUAGGUGGUUGAUCGCGUCGGAAGUGUAAUCUUGGGGCUUAACCCUGAGCGUGCUUUCGAUACGGGUUGACUUGAGGAAGGUAGGGGAGAAUGGAAUUCCUGGUGGAGCGGUGGAAUGCGCAGAUAUCAGGAGGAACACCAGUGGCGAAGGCGGUUCUCUGGGCCUUUCCUGACGCUGAGGAGCGAAAGCGUGGGGAGCGAACAGGCUUAGAUACCCUGGUAGUCCACGCUGUAAACGGUGGGUACUAGGUGUGGGGUCCAUUCCACGGGUUCCGUGCCGUAGCUAACGCUUUAAGUACCCCGCCUGGGGAGUACGGCCGCAAGGCUAAAACCCAAAGGAAUUGACGGGGCCCCGCACAAGCGGCGGAGCAUGCGGAUUAAUUCGAUGCAACGCGUAGAACCUUACCUGGGUUUGACAUGGAUCGGGAGUGCUCAGAGAUGGGUGUGCCUCUUUUGGGGUCGGUUCACAGGUGGUGCAUGGCUGUCGUCAGCUCGUGUCGUGAGAUGUUGGGUUAAGUCCCGCAACGAGCGCAACCCUUGUUCACUGUUGCCAGCACGUUAUGGUGGGGACUCAGUGGAGACCGCCGGGGUCAACUCGGAGGAAGGUGGGGAUGACGUCAAGUCAUCAUGCCCCUUAUGUCCAGGGCUUCACGCAUGCUACAAUGGCUGGUACAGAGAGUGGCGAGCCUGUGAGGGUGAGCGAAUCUCGGAAAGCCGGUCUCAGUUCGGAUUGGGGUCUGCAACUCGACCUCAUGAAGUCGGAGUCGCUAGUAAUCGCAGAUCAGCAACGCUGCGGUGAAUACGUUCCCGGGGCU
rnacentral:rRNA from 1 species